rnacentral:rRNA from 1 species
UACGGGAGGCAGCAGUGGGGAAUAUUGCGCAAUGGGGGAAACCCUGACGCAGCAACGCCGCGUGAGUGAAGAAGUAUUUCGGUAUGUAAAGCUCUAUCAGCGGGGACGAAAUUGACGGUACCCGCAGAAGAAGUCCCGGCUAACUACGUGCCAGCAGCCGCGGUAAU